rnacentral:SRP_RNA from 1 species
GCUGGGUGUGGUGACUCACGCCUGUAAUCCCAGCACUUGGGAGGCAGAGGCAGGUGGAUCACUAGAGGCCAGGAGUUCAAGACCAGCCUGGCCAACAUAGUGAAACCCUGUCCCUA